rnacentral:tRNA from 2 species
GGAGAGGUGGCGGAGUGGUCGAUCGCGGCGGUCUUGAAAACCGUUGACCUGAAAGGGUCCGGGGGUUCGAAUCCCUCCCUCUCCGCCA